rnacentral:tRNA from 1 species
GCGCAGGUGGCGGAAGUGGUAUACGUGGGCCCAUGUGGCCAGGCCCUCGCGGGCUUGAGGGUUCGAAUCCCUCUCUGCGCA